GGAUUAGGCAUGCAAGUCGAACGAGAGCCCGUUUCGAUGGGCGAAAGUGGCGAAAGGGUGAGUAAUGCAUAGACAACCCACCUUCGACUCCGGGAUAACUGGGAGAAAUCACAGCUAAUACCGGAUAGGUUCGUUGGGACUCAUGUUCCGACGAGUAAAGGAGGCCUCUCAACGAUGCUCCUGGUUGAAGACGGGUCUAUGUCCUAUCAGCUUGUUGGUGAGGUAACGGCUCACCAAGGCGAUAACGGGUAGCCGACCUGAGAGGGUGACCGGCCACACUGGGACUGAGACACUGCCCAGACUCCUACGGGAGGCUGCAGUCGAGAAUCUUCCGCAAUGGGGGCAACCCUGACGGAGCGACGCCGCGUGCGGGAUGAAGGCCUUCGGGUUGUAAACCGCUGUCACAGGUUAAGAACCGGUCUAGUGUCAAUAGCGCUAGGCCCUGACAAAGGCCUGAGAGGAAGCCACGGCUAACUUCGUGCCAGCAGCCGCGGUAAGACGAAGGUGGCAACCGUUGUUCGGAAUCACUGGGCAUAAAGCGCACGUAGGCGGGAGUGCAAGUCGGGUGUGAAAUCCCUCGGCCCAACCGAGGAACUGCGCCCGAAACUGCACUUCUUGAGGACAGCAGGGGAGCAUGGAAUUCCUGGUGGAGCGGUGAAAUGCGUUGAUAUCAGGAGGAACACCGGCGGCGAAGGCGAUGCUCUGGGCUGUUUCUGACGCUGAGGUGCGAAAGCCAGGGGAGCAAACGGGAUUAGAUACCCCGGUAGUCCUGGCCGUAAACGAUGGGCACUAAGUAGAGGGGUUUU
rnacentral:rRNA from 1 species